AAUCCUGAGGAGCUCCAGGGGAAAAGAAGGGACAGGCCAAAAAGGCAAACAACGAGGACAAAUAAGGCUCUCGGGUCUAACUCCGGAUAAAUUCA